GGCAACUUGGCCGAGUGGUUAUGGCGCUAGUUUCAGGUACUAGUGGAGUGAUCCGCGUGAGUUCGAGUCUCACAGUUGUCA
rnacentral:tRNA from 1 species